CAGUUGCUGCUGAGUCCGGACAAAGAUGCUGAGGAUGUGGUGGGACAAGAAUGACCUGAAUAUGCAGAAAGUGCUUGACCAACCACGAAAGGCCGUCCCGUCUUGUCAGACGUCACAGUCAGUUACGAGAGGCCGUCCCGUCUAGUCAGACGUCACAGUCAGUUACGAGAGGCCCCCCGUCUAGUCAGAUGUCACAGUCAGUUACGAGAGGCCGCCCCGUCUAGUCAGACGUCACAGUCAGUUGAGAUUGACAAGAAUGAGGCAGAGGCAAAGAAAUCCAGCAACAUUUUACUCAAGCAACUGCUCAGCACAGAAGACAUCUGUCUGGCGAAAGGUAGGCUGUAUCAAAGUCCAGUGAUGUUGGGGGAUGCGGCCAUUCCAUGUCUUGCAAUUAAUGCAUCAUGACAUUUCAGCUGGCACUAACAAGGGGAUUGUAGAUCUGCACCGCAAGAGAGCACCAGCAUUGAUAUAGAGUUGGAACGGCAAUGGCACCAGUCAGUCCCCAGUCCAGCACGACCCCUCCCCUGACACCUAGCUCCUCCACUUUUGACCUCCGGCCUCAAAGGGUCAGCAUCAUUGAAAAAUUCCGUCCAGCAAAAAAUUAUGAGCACAUAGAGUUUUCACACAUUAAUCUCAGCAACUGCAAUGUCAGUGUUGAGUGAUCCACACUUGAGCCUGUUUGGUUUGUUAGACUCGAGAGCUGCAGGUGAAACAAGCAUUACAGACAUUAGGAGUUAUUACUGCAGUUAUGGUAACACUAACAGUCAGUUAUUGCUGUUGAACAUCACAACGAAUAAUACAAAGUUGGAUAACUUGUUUCAUUCUUUUUGGGACAAACAGAACAACAGCAAGGAACAGGAGAAAAUCAAGGAAUAUUUGAAGAGUUUAAGUCAGAAGCGUACGCUUUCCGGCGGGGAUACUGGACAAUCUCGGUUUGUCCUCUCAGGUGUCCAAACUGUCCAAAGAGAAGGAACUUUUGACGCAGUUGCUAACAAAGAAAGGCAGCACCAACUUUGUUGUGAACACUCAGAGCAACCAUGGCCAUGCCUCAGGCGGGAAGUCCGACCAACAGCUGAAACAAGGUGCUAAAGUUGAACCGAUCAGGGUUUGUAACUUCCCACUCCAAUCCUAAACAGCCUGGCAUUGAAUCGGAGAUUAAGAAGGUGUUGAAGAAAGAUAGCAGUUUUGAUGCGUCAUCCAGUAUGACCUUUGAACGCGACGUUCGUUUGUUCGUUAGAACUCAAACUCGGCCCUUAGCAAUUUCAGCGAGGCUAGCAUGUGGUAUCAGCUUCUUGAGCUUCAGAAAACAUUAUAAGCAAACAAGACAAACAUCAUGAAUGUUUAGGCAAUCCCAAUCCACUUAUACUACAACUCGCUCAGGAAAUUCAGCACGCCACCUUUUAACAUCUUCUCACAAGGCGCUAAAUCAACACUUCCAACAGCUGAGCCUUGGGUAUAAAGGAAUCAACUUCGACGGAUGUCUGUCUGUCUUUCCAACUGUCUGUGGGCAUUCACUUCUAAAUUCCACGCUCAGCAUUCAAACUUUCAGGACCCCAUGCAAUCACACAUCUGUACACAGCGGACAACAAGAGGCUCUCUGGUCACCUGGGCCUGGACGCCCGGUGACAAUUCCUGGGUGUAGGUGGUGAGCUCUUGGGCCAGGAAUUUGGGGCAAAGCUCAAGGAGGCUCCAACUUCCCUUCCCAGGAGCCGAGAUUACCUCAUCUACAAGAUUGUUAUGCAAAGAGUUUCACAGUCGUUCAAAUAAUUUUUGAACAGCAUGUCACUUAACAAGCACCCUACCCUGAAAACCUCCCUGAGCUAAUGAACAGUUCAACUGCACCAAACGUGACCCUUAAGAGAAAUGAGUUUCCAAGAAAUGUCAAACCCGUACCAAUCUAGGUACCAACAGCCUCAGUCGUGGGGAACUGGUUCAUGAUGUACCCAUGGUCUUAAUGAUCUCUGAACAUCUCAACAACACAACAACAGUAGAGCAACAUGAACUGCAAGCUGUGAAUGGUCAGUGUCCAGCUGUAUCCUAGCAACCAAGCCACACCAGCACAUCAGAAAAAACAACAACAGCAGCAGCAGUUUGGACAACAUAUCAAUGAACGUGGCUCCAUUCCCAGAAAAACACGCCAAGCUAAUGAGCAGUGUCAUUGCGCCAAACAUGAUUCUUCAAGUAUACUUGGAGCCCAAUGUCGCUUCAACAGCGGUCGCCAAGCCUUGUGAGCUCAGGGGGAGUGGUCAUGAUGCACAUGGGCUUGCAACUUUCCCCAGGCUUCUCUCAGUAGCAGUGGAACAACAUGGCAGCCCAGCAAGGGGCCUUCCAAUACAACAAAUGUCACAGAUCAUUGUCUGGUGGCACUCAGCUUAAGACGUCGCCAAAUCAGUGCUUCAUGUUCAACAACCCACCAUAUACUAGCAACCAGACCACAAUCGCACGGCAACAACAACAGCACCAGCAGCAACACUGGGUUCAGCUGUCUUCAAUGUUUUGAUAACAACCUUCAGGCAGCAGUUCAUUACAACGCCUGCUCUGUAUGGAUGAUUAUAAUAUGAGCCUCGUUCUGGUCGUGGGUAAACCUGCUUUUUCCAGAACCCAUUUGGUUCCCAGGGCCUUGGCUGUGACCCUCUUCACAUCAUGCCAAGCGCCAUGUUUCUCCCUGGUCAACAGCACCGUAUUUAUGGCGACAAAAUUGGCUACAGAAUCCUUGACGUCAACCCAGUUUACCCUUUGGGGUAAAGCAAUGUGCCCCUAGAUACAAACAUCGUCACAGAUCUCUCUCCAAUGGCUUGAAGCUGUACACAUCACCAAACACCGCUUCAUAUUAAGCUACCAGCAGUAUCCAUGCAACAAACCCAUUAUUGCCCAGCAACAGCUACACCAGCAGCAGUGGUCAAUUAAGCCGUCAACCAUGUUUUGGCAGCCAAGGCGCAGUAGUUUGUUGAAACGUUGACCCACACUUCUCAGAGCAAAUCAGUGGGCUUUGAUGUCGCAGCACAUCAACUCAAAGAGAUCCAUGCGAGGUCAGCCCUCACAACAGUGCCAUACCAUGACAUCCUCCAACUCACCCCAGUACUCACCUUGGUGUCAGGGAAAGGUUCAAGGUCACAUGGGCCUUGGUGGCCUUUGCAAGAUUGGCAUGUUAGACUGGAGUGAUGGGACA